AAAAAGCCCGCGAUGCGUCGGCAUCGGCGGGCUUCAGGUGCGGCAGCUUUCGACUCGGGCCGGCAUUCGGGCCGGCCUUCGCUUUAGCUGUUUCGGGUGACUGCCCCGCGUCCGCAAGCUGAGAUCAAAUCGACGCAGCGCCCAUCCUAACAUGUGUCACGACGGGCGCG
rnacentral:sRNA from 17 species